rnacentral:siRNA from 1 species
CUAGAAGUCCAAUUGUAGCAGC